rnacentral:rRNA from 1 species
UAAUGCUGGGGACUCUAAAGGAACUGCCUACGCAAGUAGUGAGGAAGCGGGGAUGACGUCAAAUCAGCACGGCCCUUACGUCCAGGGCUACACACGUGCUACAAUGGCCGAUACAGAGGGCAGCUACCUGGUGACAGGAUGCAAAUCUCCAAAGUCGGUCUCAGUUCGGAUCGGAGUCUGCAACCCGACUCCGUGAAGUUGGAUUCGCUAGUAAUCGCGCAUCAGCCAUGGCGCGGUGAAUACGUUCCCGGGCCUU